rnacentral:rRNA from 1 species
UUGGAGGGCAAGUCUGGUGCCAGCAGCCGCGGUAAUUCCAGCUCCAAUAGCGUAUAUUAAAGUUGUUGCAGUUAAAAAGCUCGUAGUUGAAUUUCGGGGUUAGUAGGUUGGUCAUGCCUCUGGUAUGUACUGGUCUCACUGAUUCCUCCUUCCUGAUGAGCCGUAAUGCCAUUAAUUUGGUGUUGCGGGGAAUUUGGACUGUUACUUUGAAAAAAUUAGAGUAUUUAAAGCAAGCUAACGCUUGAAUACAUUAGCAUGGAAUAAUGAAAUAGGACGUUCGAUCCUAUUUUGUUGGUUUCUAGGAUUGACGUAAUGAUUAAUAGGGAUAGUUGGGGGCAUUAGUAUUCAAUUGUCAGAGGUGAAAUUCUUGGAUUUAUUGAAGACUAACUACUGCGAAAGCAUUUGCCAAGGAUGUUUUCAUUAAUCAAGAACGAAAGUUAGGGGAUCGAAGACGAUCAGAUACCGUCGUAGUCUUAACCAUAAACUAUGCCGACUAGGGAUCGGAUGAUGUUAAUUUUUUAAUGACUCAUUCGGCGCCUUACGGGAAA